AACGAACGCUGGCGGCGUGGAUAAGACAUGCAAGUCGAACGGGAGUUUAUUUAUAGCAAUAUGAGUGAACUCUAGUGGCGAAAGGGUGCGUAACACGUAGCUACCUACCUCGAAGUUGGGGAUAGCUCGGCGAAAGCCGGAUUAAUACCGAAUGUGAUCGUAAGAUCAAAGCUGGGGAUCGUAAGACCUGGCGCUUUGAGAUGGGGCUGCGGCCUAUCAGCAGUUGGCGGGGUAACGGCCCACCAAGGCUUAGACGGGUAGCUGGUCUGAGAGGACGACCAGCCACACUGGAACUGAGACACGGUCCAGACACCUACGGGUGGCAGCAGUCGAGGAUUUUCUCAAUGGGGGAAACCCUGAAGGAGCGACGCCGCGUGAGGGAUGAAGGUC
rnacentral:rRNA from 1 species